CACGUAGUUAGCCGUGGCUUAUUCAAGGGGGUACCGUCUUCUACUCUUCCCCCUUAAAAGAAGUUUACAACCCGAAAGCCUUCUUCCUUCACGCGGCGUUGCUGGGUCAGACUUGCGUCCAUUGCCCAAUAUUCCCCACUGCUGCCUCCCGUAGGAGUCUGGGCCGUAUCUCAGUCCCAAUGUGGCCGGCCAACCUCUCAGUCCGGCUACUGAUCGUCGCCUUGGUGGGCCAUUACCGUCACCAACUAGCUAAUCAGACGCGAGGCCAUCUUUCGGCGAUAAAUCUUUGACAUUCAGACCAUGCGAUCCAAAUGUAUCAUGCGGUAUUAGCAGUCGUUUCCAACUGUUGUCCCCCUCGAAAGGCAGGUUCCUCACGCGUUACUCACCAGUCCGCCACUAAGCAUUCCUAUCCCGUUAGUCCGAAAACUCCUUCAAGGGUGCUCCGUUCGACUUGCAUGUGUUAAGCACGCCGCCAGCGUUCGUCCUGACGCCAGGACUCGAAACUCUA
rnacentral:rRNA from 1 species